rnacentral:rRNA from 1 species
CCUACGGGAGGCAGCAGUGGGGAAUAUUGCACAAUGGGGGAAACCCUGAUGCAGCAACGCCGCGUGAAGGAAGACGGUUUUCGGAUUGUAAACUUCUAUCAAUAGGGAAGAAAGAAAUGACGGUACCUAAAUAAGAAGCCCCGGCUAACUACGUGCCAGCAGCCGCGGUAAUACGUAGGGGGCAAGCGUUAUCCGGAUUUACUGGGUGUAAAGGGAGCGUAGACGGCCAGACAAGUCAGAAGUGAAAGCCCAGGGCUCAACCCUGGGACUGCUUUUGAAACUGCCGGGCUGGAGUGCAGGAGAGG